GCCAACGCCUGUUUCCUCCGGCCUGGGUCGCCAGUUUCGCUAGCGACCCGGGAAAACCAGGGCUGGGCCGGAGCCAAACACGUGGACUGUGGUGUGGCGCCAGGACUCCAGGAGCUGGGUGGACUGCGUGAAAGAAGACUGCUAGGGCCUUGGCUGACUGUGGGUUGGGCGAAGGAAAUAUUAAUUGUUUUAUUAAAUGCCUUUUAUUGUGAUCCUUUGUUAUUUUAAAACUCUGCUCUUCUUGAUUUUAAGAACCUGUUUGAGUCCUAGGCUCUCUCCUAGGUGGCGUUGUCGUUUUUAGUUUUAAAAUAUUAUCAGUUUAUAAUAUAUUUAAUUAUAAAUUCUGGUUUUAUUGUUUUUAGUUGUUUUAAGCCCUAGGCCCCUGGUUUUUUUUACAUAACAAUCUAAGCAGCUGAGGAGCCCAGCACCUACUGCCUGUCAGCGUCCGUCAACCCUGUACAUAUCUAUGAAGGAAUGCAUUUUAUGCCCACCAGAUGUUCAGUGACAUCGAAUAUAAUAUAUGAGCUAUUUAAAUUAAUGUUAUGUAACAGAAAAUGCUAAUUCUGACCUUCAACGAGUCAUUGCAGUUGAAAAUUGUGGCAAAUCGUAGUUUUAAAAAGCAUUUUCAACUUAUUGCAAUGUAUUGUCAAACUAACACGUCUCUUGUGAUUGUAUAUGCAUUUUUGUUCAGAGAAGGUCCAAAAUAAACAGGUUUGACUCUUAAAAACUGACAGAAAA